AUGGACAUUGAUCUUAAAGAUGACUUUUGGGAUCAAACUAGUAUAGCUAGCCCAGAUCAUAUAGAUCUGCUUGAAAAACCUUUCUCUGAAGAGGAGAUCAAGGCUGUUGUCUGUGGCUCAUAUGCUGAGGGAGCCCCUGGCCCUGAUGGCUUUCCUUUUCUAUUUUACCAGAAAUACUGGGACUUAAUUAAGAAUGAUCUUUUUGCAUUAUUCAAGGAUUGGGAAGCUCGGGCUUUGGACUUAUAUAGACUUAACUUUUCCCUGCUUACUCUAGUGCCUAAAGAACCAAAUGUUGUCAGAUUAGAAAGGUUUAGACCUUUGGCUAUGACUAACUUCAACUUUAUUUUGUUUUCAAAUGUACCACCAAUAGAUUUGGCCCUGUGUGCAAUGAUAUUAUUGCCCCAAACCAAACUGCCUUUAUUAAAGGGAGGUUUGUUUUGGAAAGCAUUGUAG
rnacentral:rRNA from 1 species